UACGGAGGGUGCAAGCGUUAUCCGGAUUUACUGGGUUUAAAGGGUGUGUAGGCGGGUCUAUAAGUCAGUGGUGAAAUCUCCGGGCUCAACCCGGAAACUGCCAUUGAUACUAUAGGUCUUGAAUAUUGUGGAGGUGGGCGGAAUGUGUCAUGUAGCGGUGAAAUGCUUAGAGAUGACACAGAACACCGAUUGCGAAGGCAGUUCACUAAGGUUGUAUUGACACUGAGGCACGAAAGCGUGGGGAUCAAACAGG
rnacentral:rRNA from 1 species